GACGAACGCUGGCGGCGUGCCUAACACAUGCAAGUCGAACGGGGCACCUUCGGGUGCUUAGUGGCGAACGGGUGAGUAACGCGUGAGAAACCUGCCUUUCAGUGGGGGACAACAGUUAGAAAUGACUGCUAAUACCGCAUAAUGUAUUUUGGGGGCAUCCCCGAAAUACCAAAGCUUUAUGUGCUGAAAGAUGGUCUCGCGUCUGAUUAGCUAGAUGGCGGGGUAACGGCCCACCAUGGCGACGAUCAGUAGCCGGUCUGAGAGGAUGAACGGCCACAUUGGGACUGAGAUACGGCCCAGACUCCUACGGGAGGCAGCAGUGGGGAAUAUUGGGCAAUGGGGGAAACCCUGACCCAGCAACGCCGCGUGAAGGAAGAAGGCCCUCGGGUUGUAAACUUCUUUUACCAGGGACGAAGAACGUGACGGUACCUGCAGAAAAAGCAACGGCUAACUACGUG
rnacentral:rRNA from 1 species